GAUGAACGCUAGCGGCAGGCUUAACACAAGCAAGUCGAGGGGUAACAUUUUGUGCUUGCACAAAGAUGACGACCGGCGCACGGGUGCGUAACGCGUAUGCAAUCUACCUCAUACUGAGGGAUAGCCUUUGGAAACGAAGAUUAAUACCUCAUAGUAUGUUGACUUGGCAUCAAGACAACAUUAAAGGUUACGGUAUGAGAUAAGCAUGCGUCCUAUUAGCUUGUUGGUAAGGUAACGGCUUACCAAGGCAACGAUAGGUAGGGGCCCUGAGAGGGGGAUCCCCCACACUGGUACUGAGACACGGACCAG
rnacentral:rRNA from 1 species